rnacentral:misc_RNA from 1 species
UCUCCGUAGGUGAACCUGCGGAGGGAUCAUUACAGAGUUCUCGCCCUCGCGGGUAGAUCUCCCACCCACUGUUAUCGUUACUGUGUUGCUUUGGCGGGCCGCCGGGCCCCGCUCGGCCGCCGGCUCCGGCUGGCGCGCGCCCGCCAGAGGCCCAGCAAACUCUGAAUGUUAGUGUCGUCUGAGUACUAUAUAACAGUUAAAACUUCCAACAACGGAUCUCUUGGUUCUG